UUUGUAUGUUUCCCCAGCAAGCGAUAUUUGUGUGGUUGCUCCACACAACUAUCGCUUGCUCGGGUCAAAACCCGAUUGCUAGUAAGAAACCAGUUCGUCUGCACACAUAAGGCUAAUCAACACGUAAAAUCAUCACUAUGUUAUUUCUCCGUUUUUGGAUGGUGCUUGUGCUCAUAUUAGCUACUCUAUUGCUAUCCGAUGCAAAUAUUUUCAAGCCCUCGUGUGCAGAUGGAAAGAAGCUAGUAAAAGUAAGAGGGACCUACCUAUGUUUGACCGCGAAAAAGGAAAAACGAAUUGAAAAAUAAAUACGUUGACACAU